rnacentral:rRNA from 1 species
GGCCAGCAUCAGUUUUCCCCGGGGGAUAAAGGCUCAGAGAAUGUGGCAUCUUCGGAUGUGUUAUAGCUCUGGGUCACAUACAUCGGCUGGGACUGAGGAACUCAGCACGCCGCAAGGCCGGGUUUCGACCACGUUCGUGCUUAGGAUGCUGGCAUAAUGGCUUUAAUCGA